rnacentral:rRNA from 1 species
UACGUAGGGUGCAGGCGUUAAUCGGAAUUACUGGGCGUAAAGCGUGCGCAGGCGGUUAUGCAAGGCAGAUGUGAAAUCCCCGGGCUCAACCUGGGAACUGCAUUUGUGACUGCAUAGCUGGAGUGCGGCAGAGGGGGAUGGAAUUCCGCGUGUAGCAGUGAAAUGCGUAGAUAUGCGGAGGAACACCGAUGGCGAAGGCAAUCCCCUGGGCCUGCACUGACGCUCAUGCACGAAAGCGUGGGGAGCAAACAGG